UGACCGCCUCAGCCUCCCAAAGUGCUGGAAUUACCACUGAGCAUUUACUAUGUUCCAGGCCCUGUGCUAAGUGCAUUGCCUGCUGCGUCUCACCCUUCAGUGGGAGUAGCCUCAGCUGCUAAUCAUGGUGAAAUAAAUGUCACUGCAAGUUUAAGGAAGACUAUGCACUAUUACCACUGAGCAUUUACUAUGUUCCAGGCCCUGUGCUAAGCGCAUUGCCUGCUGCGUCUCACCCUUCAGUAGGAGUAGGGGACAGCUCUCCUGCCAGCCAGCCAGCUUGCCAAAGGAAUCUUUCCUGUGCACAGAGAGCACACUGGGCUUGGAGACAUUCUCUGCACAGUGGGAUUUGGUGAGAAUCUUAAGAGUUUCUGUUCAAGGUCAGUUUGUCUCUCUCAGACCGUGGCACCAAGGAACCUGCUGCUACCCUACUUGAUGGGGCUGAACAGGAGAUAUAUUCCACGCUUCACAAUUGCCACCUUUCGGGAGCGGCUUCACCAGGUGAAGAAGCCCUGGUUUAGAGAUGAGAUCUGGGUUUGGGUUCUGGUUCUGCCCCUCAUUAGCCAUGUGACCUUGAGCAAGCCUUAUCCUUUCUCGUUCUCGGUUUCUUCAUCUGUAAGAUUAGGAAUACUCAUCUCUAAUACUAAUCUCAAAAAUUGUUUUGAGUGUUAAAUAGGAACGAAUGCAUAUGAAACUUUAGAGAAGGGCUUGGCAGAUGUUUUCUAUGAAGGGACAGAUAGAAACUAUUUUUGGCUUUAUUGACCUUACAGGCUCUGUCUCAACUACAGAAUUCCACGAUUGUAGUAGCGUGGAAGCAGCCAUAGGCAAUUCAUCAAGAGAUCAGCAGGGCUGUGUCCACUAAAACUUUAUUUUACAAAAACAGGCAGUGGGCUGGGUCUUGCUCAUGGGCUGUACUUUGCCUAUCCUCACAGCCUGUUUCUGUGAAGCCCGUGAGCUCAGGAUGGUUUUAUGUUUCUAAAGGGUUGUAAGGAAAAAACAAAGAAAAGGUGACAGUGCCCAGAGCGAGUAUUUACCACCGGCUUCUUGGAGAAGCUGGCUGGCUCCGCUCUAGAGCAUUGCAGGAAAGUCAGCCCAGGAGGCAGGCAGCUGUGUCCCUGAGUAUCAGGGGGCCUGCCUGGUAAGUCACAAUGAAACAGACAGUGGCCAGAUGACCCCUGGGCCCUAUCCAGCUCCAGGGGCUAGGGUCCACAUGACUCUGAUGACCGAGCUCAGGGGCUAGAGGAGGGAAGGGAAAUGGCCCCCUAGUUCUCUUUUCAGUUGUCUAUUUCAGAUGGUCCUUAUGAAAGAGGAUCAGCAAAGCUUCCAUCAGAAAAUGAACCAAUAAUCAAGUGAAUGGGGCUUUCGUUUCCUGAAUUGUCUCUAGCCUGUGAGGCUGUGCUUCCAUAUGGAACUUCUGAGUUCUCUACGAACUCGAACAAUGAGUCAUGGGCGAGCCCAGGACUCCCACCCACUUGGAGUCAUGGGGCUCUGACAUGGAGACAAGACCACAGGGUUUCUGUCAGGCCAGAGCCCUGACCCCUCAGCUAAGAUGUUUCUUCUUUGUUCUAGAUUCAGUCAUAUAAGCAGAGGCAGCAGGUACUAGGCCUCAGAGUAAUAGUCCCUGAAGAAAAUAAAGAGAAAGUCUGUCUGAGAAAAGCCAGUUGUGCCAGUUAAAGAAUGACCUAUGGCCACAAUGCCUUACUGGAGGGUGCUUGGGAGCCCAUGUCCUCAUGUCUGUUGUAUCGGGUUAGGGAGAUCCUGGUGCAUUUCAGUGGGGAGGGGGUUGCUGCUGGUCGUGUUUUCACUCCUUCUCUCUCCUUCCCCAGUGACCCCAAGACAAAAUGCUGUUAGGUAAGUGGGGUCUGCUUAGCCCCACUAAGUUCCCCCAUCCACCAUUAGGAAUCAGUGGUAUUGUUAUAGUCUACCAGGACCGACCUGGUGCUGCUCAGAACCAGGGGCUCAAGGCAGGGCCUCCCUUCAUCUUCUUAAAUUAUUCUCUAGCAGCUCUGAGUCUCCCAAAGAUUGGUCCUAGAGAAAAGACUAUGUCAUUUACUGCUUUUUCUGAUGGUAAAAACAUGCAUAUUUACUGCAGAAAAUUUGAAAAAUAGAGAAAUGUGUAAAGAAGAAAACGUACAAAAUAACUUUAGACUCAAAACCAAUCUGAUUAAAUCAGGAAAUCAUUAUUUAUUGAGCACCUACUAUGUGCCAGCCACUGUUGUUCUUGGUGCUGGGGACAUAGCAGUGAAAAAAAAACAAAGUCCUCCCCUUCGUGGAGCCUAUAUUUCAGUAGGGACAGUCAGUACAGUACAGGAAGGGGCUGGGCUGAUGGAACAGGAUGCCUUUUUUGAUAGGGUGGUCAGGACAAGAGGAAGCAAGGGAUGCAGCUAUUUGGGGAAGAGUGUUUCCAGCAGAAGGAAGAAGACCUGCCCAGGUGUCGGAUAAGAGCCUGCUUGGUGCAUUCAGGGAUACGAAGGAGGCCAGCGUGGCUGAGAUGAGGUAGGGGCAGCCGGGGUGAGAACAGGUGGGACUUGCCGGCCAUGAAGAGGACCUUGGAUUGCUGUUGAGUGAAAUGGAAAGCCAAAUGUAGGGUCUUGAACAGAAGAGGGACAUGAUGAGCCUUAUGUUUUGAAAUGAUCAUUCUGGACACCAGAUGGAAAAUAGACAGGGGCUGGGGGUGGGGUUGGCAAGGGGAGAAGCUUGGAAGCCAUUUGGUUAUUGCGAAAGUCACACAAAGCUGUGAAAGCAGAGCUGGCCUGGUUGAAGGAAGGGUGGAGGUGGGGGGAGGGCCGGCAUUUCCUCCCACUGAGCCUCUGCCCUUCCCUUUUCCUGCUCUCUGAGGUUCCACCAUGGGACCCCAGGGUACCUAGGAUUACAAUUUGAAAGCUAUUGGACUAGAGGUUCUCUAAGGGCCCUUCCAGCUUUGCCUCCUGUGCUCUUGUGUUUCAGGACCAUGCUGAUUCUGUGGGACCAGGCCCGGGCUCUACCAGCCAGGCCUCUGAACAUGUCAACUUGAGAACUGAACAGGUUCAGGGUCUAGGAAGGGGAGACAUUUCAAAAUUUUAAUUAAAAAAUAUUUUUAACGUUUAAAUUUUUGUAGAGACAGGGUCUUCCCAUGUUGCCCAGGCUGGUCUCAAAUUUCUGGGCUCAGGUGAUCCUCCCGCCUUGGCCUCCCAAAAUAUUGGGAUUACAGACAUGAGCCAUGAGAUUUGGAAACUUAAUUCAGCUCCCACAUACUAAACGUGGCCAGCCCUGUGUGGGGAUUGUAAGAGGGGAUAAGUAAGAGGAAAUGUCUGCUCCAAGAAACUCACUGGCUGGGAUGGGAACUAGGGAAUCACACAAAUGGCCCAGCCCAAAGUCUGAGAGGCCCCGGCCCCUCCCUGCCUGGCCUUUUUUCCAUGUGGCCCCUGAGCCAGUGGUUCCCAAACUGGGCAGGUCAUGGGGUCAUCGAGGAACUUCAGAAUAUGCAGAUGCCCAGACUGUGCCCUCAAAGAUUCAAAUUCAGUUAGUCGAGGGUGGGUGGGGCCUGGGAAUCUGUUCAGACAAAGGCCUGGCCUGAAGCCUGGGCUGGAGGGUUCAGUCCAGACAGAAGAACAGAGACUGAUGAGAGGGCUUCUGCCAGCUUCACCAAGCCCGUGCUAGGCAGGAUGUGGAAAUCAAGCCUGUCUUCCAGUGGGGCACGGGGGUGGGGAGCUGGAGGAGGGGGUGGCAGCUCCUUUAUCAGCUGUCCCCAUCAGAGGCCCUUCUCCCAGGAAGGAAUGUUUAAAAAACUCCCAGGAAGGAAUUGCUGGGUUUGGAGACUAUGAGAAUUCCCCAUCUCCCCCAAUCUCCUCAGCCACCUCAAAUCAACCAGCCCGUCUCCCCAUGUUUGGGUUAACUCCUUAUUGGCUCGGAAUGUCUCGCCUGGGUUGACUACUGAUCUGUGAGAUCGCUUAGUGGCCUGAAAUAUUUCCAGAAUACAAGCAACACUGACAAAAAUAUUCUUGUAGGGCCCCACAAAUCUCACUGAGAAAGAACCCCUACAGGUGGAGAGGAGUGUGGGGUAUGCAGACUGGAAGGUGGGACCCUGAUUCAUUCCAGAACUGGAAGGAAAUCAGACAUUUCCAAACAGGAGAGAGAUGGGAAGCCGGAGGAAGGAGCAGGAGGAGGGAAGAGAAUGAAUCUUAUGUGAAUGAAUGGUAAUUUUCUCUCAGUUACUGGGAAGAAAAAAAAAUAACAAAAUCAGACCUUGGUCUGGUCCACUAAAAAGAAUUCUCUGAGUCAGACUUCUUUCAUGGAAGUUGUGAACUUUAUCCUCUGGCAGCCAUUUAUCUAAUAUUAAACCCCUUAACCUUCCUAAUUGUUCUCUUUCAGUAUCAGCUGGUUUCAUAUUAACCUUUCAGUCUUUCCCAUAAUGCAGUUACCUCCAACUCCCGCCAGACCCAAUUCAGAGCUGCCAUCAGGUCAGACCUUUGCCUGCUCUUGGCAACACGUCCCCCUGUCCUGCUCCUCUGCAACCUGCCCCUCUUUUUCUUCAUGUGCUGUGAAGGCACCAUGUGGAUGGGUGUUCAACUUCUGGAUUGGGGAUGCACAGAGCCUGAGGGACACACUUUGCAAACCUGCACCUUGCACUUUUGGGUUCUGGCCUGCAAGGUCUCCUUUAUUCUUUUGGACCAAGGCUGUCCCUGGGAGAGGGCAGCCGCCGGCCUGUCAGAGCAAAUCAGCCUCAGGCGGUUUCUGCGGCUCUGGUAUUUGAGCUUUGUUUUCCCUCUCUCCCGGGAAGAACUCAUUGAAAUAGUUUCUCUGGGAAAGACAAAGCGUCUCGCCCAGAUGCUGAAGGAUCACUUGGUAACUGCCUGUCUUGGUUUCCCGUUGUGCCCAUGAAGGCGCCAUCAGCUCUAAAGCUGACCUGUGGUUCCGUCUCCAAACAGCUAACCCAGACGUCACCCCCUUGCAGCCAGCCGCACAGCCUGAGUUGGAGUUCUGGCCUCUCCUAGCAGUGAGUGACAGUGUUGGAGGGGCCUUGGACACCUUGGGUAAUUGCUAACUAAAUAUGAGCAGUAGGGGAAGGUCUUCUGGUCCACGGCAGAGCCAACGGGGCACUUCCUCUUCUCUUUUCUAGUCAGGGUAGAAAGCUAGAAAGAAUCCUAAAAAUCACUAUCCAAGUCCCCAUUGUGUGGGGACAGAGGCCUGGCCUGAAGCCUAGGCUGGAGGGUUCAGUCGGAAGCAGAAGCCGGGAGACUGCAUGAGAGGGUUCCUUCCAGCUUCACCAAGCCCGUGCUGCGCGGGAUGAAGAAAGUCAAGCCUGUCUUCCAGUGGGGCCCUGAGGUGGGGGAGCUGGAGGAUAGGGUGGCAGCUUUUUUAUCAGCUGUCCCCAAAAGAGGCCCUUCUCCCAGUUGCCACGGACCAAAGCUCCUCCUGGGAGCUCCAGCCUGUCUGUUCAAUGUUUGCCUUGCGCCUUUUCCUGGUGAGGCCACCCCCGGCACCAUCUCAGGCCUCAGAAGGACGACCUCACUGAAACAGCCCUUAGGUUGGGAAAGAAGCAAGCCCUCCGCGCCCCGUCCAAGUCUCUCAACUGGGCACGAGCACACACAGACGCCCAGGCCCUGUCCCUGCGCCAGAAUGGCCGCUCGCGUUUCCAGGCACGAUGCCCCUUUCCAUGAGUGCACAGAGCCCUGGGCUGAGCUGGGGGCCGAGCUCCACGCUCUCUGAGCAGCUCUGAGCGGCACGCCAAAGAAGGUCUUUCAGAUGGGCUCUGGGAUGUGGAACCAUGGCGUCCAGCCCUAGCGUCGACUCCACACUAGAGGCACCCUGACUUUCGCCCCCUUCUUACCUGAGUAUCAGCUUACUUCCAUCUGGGGACUGAAUAUGGGGCAGAUUCCAGAAAAAGGAGGUUGGGGCACCAAAACCAACACCAACUCUGCCAACGGAGCCAGCACAGCUAUUUGUCUCCAACCACAGGCCGCAAGGGAAGUUCACGGGCUCGGCACCCCCAGGUCCCGGAUGUAAGGAUAUUGCCCGUUAGACAAAGGAAAGGCCCCAAGUCCACAACUCAUGUUUGUGAGCUUAACCUUGUCCUAUAAAGCACUUUGGAACAGGCCCAGGUUCUCCCACCAUGUACAGCUGCCAUUGACCUGGACAGUCCCGCAAGGUCCUUCAGUGGAAACCCAGAAGGGAGAGUCACUGCAUGUGAACCCUAAGGGUUCUGGAGGUCAAAGUUGCUGUGGGUGACAGGCAACCAAGACUAAGGGCAAACUUGAAACAUAAAUGAGUUAAAACCCACAAAAAUAAGACAGUUUUAAAUAACUAAA
rnacentral:lncRNA from 1 species